rnacentral:rRNA from 1 species
GAUGAACGCUAGCGGCAGGCCUAAUACAUGCAAGACGAACGGUAAGUUGAGUAGCAAUACUUAGCCAAGAGUGUCGUACGGGUGCGUAACACGUAUGCAACCUACCCUAUACAGGAGGAUAGCCUAGGGAAACCUGGAUUAACCCUUCAUAGUAUUAUUGGAUGGCAUCAUUUGAUAAUUAAAACUGAGGUGGUAUAGGAUGGGCAUGCGUCUGAUUAGUUAGUUGGCGGGGUAAUGGCCCACCAAGACGAUGAUCAGUAGGGGUUCUGAGAGGAAGAUCCCCCCACACUGGCACUGAGAUACGGGCCAGACUCCUACGGGAGGCAGCAGUAGGGAAUAUUGGUCAAUGGAUGCAAGUCUGAACCAGCCAUGCCGCGUGCAGGAAGAGGCCUUCUGGGUUGUAAAC